UACGUAGGGUGCGAGCGUUGUCCGGAAUUAUUGGGCGUAAAGGGCUCGUAGGCGGUCUGUCGCGUCGGAAGUGAAAACUCAGGGCUUAACCCUGUUCGUGCUUCCGAUACGGGCAGACUAGAGGUAGGCAGGGGAGAACGGAAUUCCUGGUGUAGCGGUGGAAUGCGCAGAUAUCAGGAGGAACACCGGUGGCGAAGGCGGUUCUCUGGGCCUAUUCUGACGCUGAGGAGCGAAAGCAUGGGGAGCGAACAGGAUUAGAUACCCCGGUAGUCCCUGA
rnacentral:rRNA from 1 species